rnacentral:tRNA from 1 species
GAAGUUUAUUUAUUAAGGCUUCUAACUUUGAUUAGGGGUAUACUUACUCCAAACUUCU